GCCGGGGGAACUGCAGAAAGGGUGUGGCACGAGGACCGCUCCCCAGGCUGGGCGCGACGCUGCGCACCGACUCCCUCUGCAGCCGCCCAGACCUCAAUAGGGCGUUUCCCUCGGGAAGCAGCUGCUGGAAUCCUGGCAGCCACGUGCCAGCAGUCAAACCUUGGGCCUCAGCGCUUCAUCUCCAGCAUGAGGCUCAUCACCCUCUUCUAGGAUUGUCUGGGAAAUUCAGAGACCUGUGCACCGUAAGCACGCAGAUCAAGACUUAGAAUAUUGUCAUCCUUUCAUCACUUCGCUGCAGGUAACCACUAUUUCAACUUCUGUUACCAAAGACUAGCUCUGCCUGUUUGUGAUUGUCAUAUACCUGGGUUUAUAGUGGGUAUUCAUUUGUCUGGCACCUUUUUCUUAACAUAAUAAUUGUGACAUUUAUCCAUAUUGUUGCCUAUAUCAGUAGUUCAUUUUUGUUUACUUGCUUAAGUGUGUAGAAUUCCACUACAAAUACAACAUAAUUUAGUUGUCACCCAUA